rnacentral:rRNA from 1 species
AUGUUUCCUUUUGUGGUGGAUGAUGCAGAAAUGGAAGGUACUAGCGUCCCUAUUGAGAUUGAUGGAGACGCGAUCUGUCUAGAGAAUGUUGGAGACGACGAGCAUGAAGCUCAAGAGAGCGGACAGGUGCAAAUCAUCUAUGCUACUGAAAAUGGCGCUCAAGUAGCUUUUGACAGCCAAGAACAGGGAACGGAGGAACAUUCUGUGAGAAGUGAAGAAGACCAGGAAAAUAAUUCUGUUAUACCAAGCCGGGAGGAGUUUACUGAAGAAUUGCGCACUAAAGUUGCGUAUAGUGAGGAACAAGCUUACAGGCUGUACUGUGAGUAUGGGCACCGUAUGGGUUUUAGUGUGCGAAAGGGAAAGCAGUACUACUUUACAGGGACCAAAGUUAUUCGAACGAAAGACUAUUACUGCUCAAAGGAAGGUUUAAAGGACGAUGAGCAGCUUACCGAGGCAAACUUUAAUAAGCCAGAGACCAGAACUAACUGCAAAGCGAUGGUCCGUUUUAGAGUUGAUUCCGAAGGUCAGUGGCGAGUUAUUCAGAUAAUUCCUGAGCAUAAUCACGAGUUGGUUCCGCCUGAAGAAAUACACUUACUGAGAUCAGUGAGGAUCCUUUCGAUUCCAAAACCCGGUACACUGAACGCAAUGGUGAAUGCUGAAAUCCAAUCGAUGCAUGACAGUUUGCAUGUGCAUGAUGAUGGUGCUGAAUGCCAUAGUCAGGUUAGCAUCCAAAGUUACGCACUGCUUGAACCAGAGGAUGCCGAAGCACUUGUAGGAUAUUUGAAGCGUAGAACAAUUGAGCAAGGUAUGUUCUAUUGGGAUGUGCAAGUAGACCAAGAAGGCCAAAUGACCAAUUUCUUUUGGAGAGACGGUAGAAGCCGUGUUGACUAUGACUGUUUUGGAGAUGUUGUGGUAUUUGACACAUCAUAUCGUACCAAUAAGUACAAUAUGAUAUGUGCCCCAUUUGUUGGUAUUAAUCACCACAUGCAAAAUGUUAUGUUUGGCUGUGCAUUUAUGUUAGAUGAGUCGUUGACAUCCUAUGAAUGGUUACUGAAAUCAUUCUUAGAGUCAAUGGGUGGUUGUCCGCCUAAAACAAUAUUUACUGAUCAGAAUGACACUAUAUCAAAGGCAAUUGAAGUCAUUCUCCCAGAGACACGCCAUUGUAUUUGUCAGUGGCAUAUCGAAAAGAACCUACAGGCCCAUUUGGAUACACCAAAUGCUUCUGGAACAUUUCAUAGCAUGUUCAUGAAAUGCAUGAAAGGUUGCGAGUCAGAAGCAGAGUUUGAGGAAACAUGGGCAAUGAUGCUUCAGGAGCAUAAUUUGCAGGAUGACCAGUGGCUCACUGAUCUAUUUGAGCAGAGGCAUAAAUGGUGCACAGCUCUUCACAAGGUUGCAUUUGAUUGUGGUAUUAGAUCACUGGAUAGGAAUUUUAGUUCACACAAUGUGCUGGGCAGCAUUGCUGAUGAAUCAACUUCACCCACUAAUUUUGCUCUUGAGUUUGAUAAACUGGUUGGGAGUUGGCGUACAAAUGAAUCUGUAGACGAUAUUCAGUGCAAGCAAAUUUCCCCAGAGUGUUCAGUUAAGCAGAAUAGUAUUUUGCAACACGCUGCUGAAGUUUACACACAUAAAGUCUACAAGUCUCUUGAAACAGAGUUUCUAGACGGAUGCACUGGAACUUCAUACCAGGAAAUGCAAUGCAGUGAAACACUGUAUAGAUUUGAGUUCAUUAUGCAAAGUAGUCCAAAAGUUUGGAUAGUUUUCCUUGACACCUCUACCAUGGAAUUGAGCUGUAGUUGCAAAAAAUUUGAGAUGAUGGGCAUACUUUGUUCGCAUGCACUGAAUGCACUUGGUCUCAAGAAUCUUGAUAAAAUUCCUGAAAGUUAUGUUUUAAAGCGAUGGACAAAAUAUGUGAGGAAAGGGACUUAUGUAUUUCCAAGUGACCAGUCUCCAGAACAAGAUUGCACAGAGGCUGUGCUUGCAUAUCGUAACCGGGCUAUGUGGUUUGUUUAUGAUCUGCUGAUGAAGAGCAAACGUCAUCAGGAUACAAGAAAACUUAUUCUUGACGUGCUUGAAAAUGGAGAAAAAUCAUUGGAAAGUGUAUGUGAACUGAAAAGGAUGCAUAUACAUCCCUCAGGAAAAGACAAAGAUGCAAGUAAAGCUGAGAAGAGGAAAAAAAAGUUAUCUAAGCAGGAUAAAAAUUCAAGAAAUGUUAAACAAGUGGUUUUGCCUCCGCCAGCCGAGUCAGUUUUUGUUGACCAACCAAAUCAAAAUCAGUAUUUUGCAACAGAAGAUAUUGCAACAAACUCAUCUAUUGGUAGACCUUUCUUCUACCAGGAAUAUCCUGCUACUGGUGUUUCAGCAAGUCAGAUUGAGGGGCAUGCAAAUAUCCAUUCCGUGCCUCAGUGUGCACCAGCACCACAGGAAUUUCCGGCAUAUGCCGCAGUCCAUCCCCCAUCUACAUUUGGCGGCGAAAGUAAUUUCUGA